rnacentral:lncRNA from 1 species
UUGGAGUUUAUUUCCCCCCCAAAAAAAUCAGAACGUACACUGAGAAAAUAAGUUAUGAGGUAUGUCAACAACAAAACUAUUCUGAGAGAGUGGGGUUUGUUAUGCUUGUGCCGUGGCAACUACCAAUGAGAGGAGCGUAUUUGAAAUACGUCAUGGAGCGCCACCUUCGAAAUGUCCUAUUUGACUUGAACUCAGCUGAUCGUUACUGAACUACCUGGAUCUCAAGCCUUGCCUACUUUUUACACGACUGUGGCUAAUAAGAUUUAAAGAAAAAGAGAAAAUGAGCUCUGGAAAAGCACUGCAGUCGGUGUCUCCUCACUACAACCAACAGCCACCGACACCAAGCCUGGCGAAAAGAAAGAAAAUUCAAGAGAAGUCUGCAAUAAGGAGUCCAACAGACAAUGUGAUGUCCCCAUGUACAAGACAGCUCAUGAAGAAAGCUAUCAAGGACAUACCGUCAUCUCCCAGACCCAGACGGGAAGCAAAAGAGAACACUGCAAAUAAAUGAAUUACCUUUUUAUGUACAGUGUGAUGUCUUUACGGUAUUCCUCUCUCUGCUAAGAUGGGCAGAUAAAUUAAUCAUUGACACUUUCCUGACAUUCUACCGUCUUUUUAAUAUGUUCUUACUAACCAAGCUGCUCACACUUUAUUGAUCCAUUAUGCAAUGUGGUGUAUAUGGGGGGGGGGGUUAUAUUCUUCAUUAAUAUGGGGCUGUUAUAUUCUUCAUUAAUAUGGUGUAUACGGGGGGUUAUAUUCUUCAUUAAUAUGGUGUAUACGGGGGGUUAUAUUCUUCAUUAAUAUGGUGUAUACGGGGGUUAUUCGUCAUUAAUAUGGUGUAUACGGGGGUUAUAUUCUUCAUUAAUAUGGUGUAUAGCGGGGGGGUUAUUUCUUCAUUAAUAUGGUGUAUACGGGGGGUUAUAUUCUUCAUUAAUAUGGUGUAUACGGG